rnacentral:rRNA from 1 species
UUAACUGAAUACAUAGGUUAACGAGGCGAACCGGGGGAACUGAAACAUCUAAGUACCCCGAGGAAAAGAAAUCAACCGAGAUUCCCCCAGUAGCGGCGAGCGAACGGGGAGCAGCCCAGAGUCUGAAUCAGCUUGUGUGUUAGUGGAACGGUCUGGAAAGUCCGACGGUACAGGGUGAUAGUCCCGUACACCAAAAUGCACAGGUUGUGAACUCGAAGAGUAGGGCGGGACACGUGGUAUCCUGUCUGAAUAUGGGGGGACCAUCCUCCAAGGCUAAAUACUCCUGACUGACCGAUAGUGAACCAGUACCGUGAGGGAAAGGCGAAAAGAACCCCGGCGAGGGGAGUGAAAAAGAACCUGAAACCGUGUACGUACAAGCAGUGGGAGCACCUUCGGGUGUGACUGCGUACCUUUUGUAUAAUGGGUCAGCGACUUAUAUUCUGUAGCAAGGUUAACCGUAUAGGGGAGCCGCAGGGAAACCGAGUCUUAACUGGGCGUUAAGUUGCAGGGUAUAGACCCGAAACCCGGUGAUCUAGCCAUGGGCAGGUUGAAGGUUGGGUAACACUAACUGGAGGACCGAACCGACUAAUGUUGAAAAAUUAGCGGAUGACUUGUGGCUGGGGGUGAAAGGCCAAUCAAACCGGGAGAUAGCUGGUUCUCCCCGAAAGCUAUUUAGGUAGCGCCUCGUGAACUCAUCUUCGGGGGUAGAGCACUGUUUCGGCUAGGGGGUCAUCCCGACUUACCAACCCGAUGCAAACUACGAAUACCGAAGAAUGUUAUCACGGGAGACACACGGCGGGUGCUAACGUCCGUCGUGAAGAGGGAAACAACCCAGACCGCCAGCUAAGGUCCCAAAGUCAUGGUUAAGUGGGAAACGAUGUGGGAAGGCACAGACAGCCAGGAUGUUGGCUUAGAAGCAGCCAUCAUUUAAAGAAAGCGUAAUAGCUCACUGGUCGAGUCGGCCUGCGCGGAAGAUGUAACGGGGCUAAACCAUGCACCGAAGCUGCGGCAGCGACACUAUGUGUUGUUGGGUAGGGGAGCGUUCUGUAAGCCUGCGAAGGUGUGCUGUGAGGCAUGCUGGAGGUAUCAGAAGUGCGAAUGCUGACAUAAGUAACGAUAAAGCGGGUGAAAAGCCCGCUCGCCGGAAGACCAAGGGUUCCUGUCCAACGUUAAUCGGGGCAGGGUGAGUCGACCCCUAAGGCGAGGCCGAAAGGCGUAGUCGAUGGGAAACAGGUUAAUAUUCCUGUACUUGGUGUUACUGCGAAGGGGGGACGGAGAAGGCUAUGUUAGCCGGGCGACGGUUGUCCCGGUUUAAGCAUGUAGGCUGAUUGUCCAGGCAAAUCCGGAUAAUCAAGGCUGAGGUGUGAUGACGAGGCACUACGGUGCUGAAGUAACAAAUGCCCUGCUUCCAGGAAAAGCCUCUAAGCAUCAGGUAACAUUAAAUCGUACCCCAAACCGACACAGGUGGUCAGGUAGAGAAUACCAAGGCGCUUGAGAGAACUCGGGUGAAGGAACUAGGCAAAAUGGUGCCGUAACUUCGGGAGAAGGCACGCUGGUGUGUAGGUGAAGUCCCUGCGGAUGGAGCUGAGACCAGUCGAAGAUACCAGCUGGCUGCAACUGUUUAUUAAAAACACAGCACUGUGCAAACACGAAAGUGGACGUAUACGGUGUGACGCCUGCCCGGUGCCGGAAGGUUAAUUGAUGGGGUUAUCCGUAAGGAGAAGCUCUUGAUCGAAGCCCCGGUAAACGGCGGCCGUAACUAUAACGGUCCUAAGGUAGCGAAAUUCCUUGUCGGGUAAGUUCCGACCUGCACGAAUGGCGUAAUGAUGGCCAGGCUGUCUCCACCCGAGACUCAGUGAAAUUGAACUCGCUGUGAAGAUGCAGUGUACCCGCGGCAAGACGGAAAGACCCCGUGAACCUUUACUAUAGCUUGACACUGAACAUUGAGCCUUGAUGUGUAGGAUAGGUGGGAGGCUUUGAAGCGUGGACGCCAGUCUGCGUGGAGCCAACCUUGAAAUACCACCCUUUAAUGUUUGAUGUUCUAACGUUGGCCCCUGACCGGGGUUGCGGACAGUGUCUGGUGGGUAGUUUGACUGGGGCGGUCUCCUCCCAAAGCGUAACGGAGGAGCACGAAGGUUAGCUAAUCCUGGUCGGACAUCAGGAGGUUAGUGCAAUGGCAUAAGCUAGCUUGACUGCGAGCGUGACGGCGCGAGCAGGUGCGAAAGCAGGUCAUAGUGAUCCGGUGGUUCUGAAUGGAAGGGCCAUCGCUCAACGGAUAAAAGGUACUCCGGGGAUAACAGGCUGAUACCGCCCAAGAGUUCAUAUCGACGGCGGUGUUUGGCACCUCGAUGUCGGCUCAUCACAUCCUGGGGCUGAAGUAGGUCCCAAGGGUAUGGCUGUUCGCCAUUUAAAGUGGUACGCGAGCUGGGUUUAGAACGUCGUGAGACAGUUCGGUCCCUAUCUGCCGUGGGCGCUGGAGAAUUGAGGGGGGCUGCUCCUAGUACGAGAGGACCGGAGUGGACGCAUCACUGGUGUUCGGGUUGUCAUGCCAAUGGCACUGCCCGGUAGCUAAAUGCGGAAGAGAUAAGUGCUGAAAGCAUCUAAGCACGAAACUUGCCCCGAGAUGAGUUCUCCCUGAGACU